rnacentral:tRNA from 1 species
CUCGGCGGGGCGGCGGACGCGGCGGCCCCGUUCCGGGCGGGCCCGGAGGUCCUCGACGCGGCGGCCCUGUUCCGGGCGGGUGCGGAGG